rnacentral:rRNA from 1 species
GCACUUGGAGGAUGUAUGGCAAUAGCUAGUUGCAUUGACAAAUAGUUAGUGCAAGAUCGACUAUGUCGAAUAAAGUUCUAGGUAGUAUUAUGAUAAUGACAUUAUCUAUCUAUGUGUCUUGACCAAAUUACGUGCCAGCAGUCGCGGUAAUACGUAAAAGACUAGUGUUAUUCAUCUUUAAUAGGUUUAAAGGGUACUUAGACGGUAGAUCAAGCCCCAAGUGGGUACUAAUAUACUAGAGUUUGAUAUAAGGAAGUUUUAAAGUACUGUUGGUGUAGAGAUGAAAUUCUGUCAUACCAAUUAUGGCACAGGUAUAGGCGAAAGCAUCUUCUUAUGUAAUAACUGACGUUGAAGGACGAAGGCUUUGUGUCUCGAACAGGAUUAGAUACCCUAGUAGUCUAAGCAGACAACAAUGAAUGUCAUAGAUUAGAUAUAAUUUGUUCUAUAAAUGAAAGUGUAAGCAUUCCACCUCGAGAGUAAUUUGGCAACAUUGGAACUGAAAUCAUUAGACCGUUUCUGAAACCAGUAGUGAAGUAUGUUGUUUAAUUAGAUAGCACGCAAAAAACCUUACCACAAUUUGAAUAUAUAUAUUAUUAUACAAGCGUUGCACGGCUGUCUUUAGUUAAUGUCGUGAGAUUUUGGUUAGUUCCAUUAAAUUAACGUAAACCCUUACUUUAUUUAUCGAUAAAGUAGUUCACCGCUAGAUUGUAUAUGAUAAGAGGGAUUAAGUCAAGUCAUCAUGACCUUAAUAUUGUGG